rnacentral:lncRNA from 1 species
GGGCGCGCUGAGGCCUCGGCCUCGCGCGGGGCUGGAGGCGGCCUGUGGGCAGCCACCGCCCUCUCCCGGCUUUCUCAGGGCGCCUGGGACACCGGCUUUCUAACAUUUUUACAGCUCAGCGAUUCUCAAGAGUUUUGUUUCUCCAGUGGAAGUAACAGGCUGACUUUGUAGGGACACGCAGCCGUCCAUAUAUGCGUAUAGCAUUCAGAGGUUCUUCCUGUAAGGACCGAUUUGGAAGACUCGUUAAGAAAACAGUGUUCUUUAAGCAAACAUUGGCAAUGGAUUUAAAUGCUCAGAUUUUGAAGAAAUCAACGACUGCAGGUGAAAUGGCUUUGCUAACUUUAAAAUAUAUUAUUAUUCAACAUUGAAACAGGAAAUCCCACAUGAGCACAUGGAGCCUCAUGGAUGGAGGGAAGAAG